CGUGCCACCGAAGGGGCCGGCCCAGGGUGCGACGCCGGAGGGGCUUGGGCAGGGCUCGGCAGCAGUUCCAGGACCAGCUACAUGGGCAUGUCCAGAGGGAAUGGAUCCAAGUUCAAGUUAUUUGCUUAAAAUUAAAUUGUUUGGCAAUCGAAAGAAAGCUUGAAAGGACAUAAGAUGUUUUUGUUUUGAGAAGGUCAUCGAUUGUGACUUGACAAAUUAUAAGGAUUUGGUUGAAUCAAUUGUAGAGCAGUAUCCGCCGGGUUAUUUGGAAGUUGCACAUGUGCAGUAUUAUGAUGAUGUUCUUAAAACUUGUCCAGAAGUAAAAUCUGACCAAGAUUUGAUGCUUAUGUUUGAAAUUACUGCUGCCAUACAUGUACAAGUGUACAUCAACGAAGGGAAAGAAGAUGGAGCUUGCUAAAAAGGAUGAAAUUUGUGCUAUGGUACCAUUUGACAGCCCUGCAAUGGGCACUAGAAGCAAAAAGACUAGUCCAACCAGCCCUGCAAUGAGCACAAGAAGCAAAAGAAGGCUUAGCUUGUGAACAUGUCAUAUUGUGUGAACUCAUGUAUAUGAAGCUUUGGUCACUUGGACUAUGUAUGUGAACCUGGAUAUGAUGACAAUCCUUCUGUGUUGCUCAUAUGAUGUGAACUUGAAUGUUGGACCUAUAUAUAUGAACCUGGAUAUGUUGUACGUGAUAUAUGCGUAUUUGGAUAUGAGCCUGGAUGUUUAUGUGCAAAUCUGAAUAUUAUUUGUUGAAA